GACGAACGCUGGCGGCGUGCUUAACACAUGCAAGUCGAACGGUAAGGCUCCAGCUUGCUGGGGUACACGAGUGGCGAACGGGUGAGUAACACGUGGGUGACCUGCCCUGCACUUCGGGAUAAGCCUGGGAAACUGGGUCUAAUACCGGAUAGGACCAUGGUGUGGAUACUGUAGUGGAAAGUUUUUUCGGUGUGGGAUGGGCCCGCGGCCUAUCAGCUUGUUGGUGGGGUAAUGGCCUACCAAGGCGGCGACGGGUAGCCGGCCUGAGAGGGUGGACGGCCACAUUGGGACUGAGACACGGCCCAGACUCCUACGGGAGGCAGCAGUGGGGAAUAUUGCACAAUGGGCGGAAGCCUGAUGCAGCGACGCCGCGUGGGGGAUGACGGCCUUCGGGUUGUAAACUCCUUUCACCAUCGACGAAGGGUUUCUGACGGUAGAUGGAGAAGAAGCACCGGCUAACUACGUG
rnacentral:rRNA from 1 species